GCGAUGAAUCAUGCUUUCACGACACAUAGUCUCAAAACCACACUGCUGGUGCUGUCAUGACUGCAGAUUUGAAAUACUGGUUGGCUCCCAUUUGAAAGUGUUGCAGUAAUAUUACUCAUGCUGCAGUAUUAUCGAAAUGAAAAAGUGGAUUUACAAGAAAAUGCUGUUCCUAUUCUGCGUAGCUUUUAUGUUCACAAUUGGUGCUGCUGUCCUGCAAACACAUUCUGCAACAACUAUUGAUGAUCAACAAAGUCAGUGUAUGAAUGAAGACCCACUGAUUUAUUAUGUGCCAGACUUCACCAGAGGGAAAGUUGGCAGGAGUGUGAGGAGAGGUGGAAAUGCAUCUGAAGGAGAGAGCAUCUACUCUGAUGUCAGGGUUUUGGGAUUGGAGUAGCAACAUUUAAUGUGUGUAUGGAACACCUUGGGAGCAACAUAUAUUUUUUUAUAUGGCAAAUGUUUUGUCUUAAGUGACAUUCAAAUGUCAGUUAUAUUUUUGGACCAAAUCUUGAUAUCUAUUGAUUUUGUUUUAUUGAGGUUUGUGCUAUAGACAAUUUAAAUUUAUUUGUUAUUUACCACCAUUGCAUCUUAUUUUGGCGGUAAAAACAAACAAACAAAAAAACAAACAAAAAAGAACAAAACAGUUCUAUGUAUCUGCAGUUUGAUCCAAUCAAACCCAAAUAGUGUUUUCAACCUGAUGACAACUAUAUUUUUGCACCAACAACAGUCUGUUCAAGUAGUCUUCAGGUUGAUAUAACUGUUAGUCUCAGUAAACUAAUAUAUUCCACUUGUUUAACAAUGCAACGUAAAUUAAUGAAAUACAUUUCUAAGAAAUUUGCCAACCAUUCACCUAUGUGCCUAAGUUAUACAUUAUUUCUAUAAACUGUACAUAACUUAUUGUACUCUUUUAUUUUUUUAUUUUUUGUAAUGUGGAUGUAUAGCAUUGCAUGUUGAAACACAGUGUGUAGCAUGUUAUUGAGACACAGAUAGAACAGAAGGAAAUCACCAGGAUUUCAUUAUCAGGAAAUCACCAGGAUGUUAACUAAUCAGAUGAUCAGUAUUCUUUGAUACUAAUGCAGAAAUUGCUCCCCAAAGCUGUUCCAAGUGUGUGAGCAUGUGUGAAUGUGAUUAGUUCCUAGUUCCUUCAUUGUCAGCAUAUGAAUGUGUGUAUGAAUGGGUGAUUGGGAUGUGUAGUCUAGUAAAAUGCUGCUUACACAUUUAUGCAUCAGUAUUAAAAAUGUAAUAGACAAUACAGGCACUUUCACUUUGAUACUUUAAGUACAUUUUAAUGAUAAUACAUAUGUGUUGUUACUACACAGGUGUCAGACCACUUCAAAGAGGAGUCUAAUGCAGUUUGCGGGUUGAGAAGGCAAAAUAGUUCAACCCCAGAGUUGUUUGGCCUGAUGGUGUUUGACACUUUCAACAGAAACCAGUGAUGGCGUUUGUCUGUUGAGAGAUCAUUUGGUAACCAUGGUAACAUUUAAGUGGUAUUUGCCCAGAAAAGGGAAAUGGCUUGAAAGAGCGAUGUGUUUCAUUAUACAUGCAGUCAUUUCAUUACUGAAAUUGAGUUGGGAUGCAAUCACACUUUUUAUUUGUGAGCUGCGAUUUCCUCCUAUUACACUAUGAUACAAGAUACCUUGUUCAUCACUGUAUGUCACAGUUGCCGUCUUGAUUAAAGUUGUUCUGCCUUUGA